ACCUUCGUGGUGUAGUGGUCAGCACACUCGGCGCGUAUUCGAGAGGUCCGUGGUUCGAGUCCCGGCGAGGGCA
rnacentral:tRNA from 1 species